UUACGGCCACAUCACAUUGAGACAUUGGUUUCCGUACGAUCUCCGAAGUUAAGCAAAAUCGAACCUGGUCGUCAGUACCUACGUGGGUGACAGUUUGGGAAUACCAGGUGCUGUAAG